rnacentral:rRNA from 1 species
CAGCCGCCACGGUAAUACGUAGGUGGCAAGCGUUGUCCGGAAUUAUUGGGCGUAAAGGGCUCGCAGGCGGUUUCUUAAGUCUGAUGUGAAAGCCCCCGGCUCAACCGGGGAGGGUCAUUGGAAACUGGGAGACUUGAGUGCAGAAGAGGAGAGUGGAAUUCCACGUGUAGCGGUGAAAUGCGUAGAGAUGUGGAGGAACACCAGUGGCGAAGGCGACUCUCUGGUCUGUAACUGACGCUGAGGAGCGAAAGCGUGGGGAGCGAACAGGAUUAGAUACCCCUGUAGUCCCUGUCUCUUAUAC